ensembl:snRNA U6 U6 spliceosomal RNA
AUGCUUGCUUUGUCAGCAUGUAUACUAUAACUGGACCACUACAGAGAAGAUUAUCAGGUCACCUGUGCAAGGAAGAACUGAAAAUUGUUGAACAGCUCCAUAUUUUU